rnacentral:rRNA from 1 species
GACGGAGGAUGCAAGCGUUAUCCGGAAUGAUUGGGCGUAAAGCGUCCGCAGGUGGCAGUUCAAGUCUGCUGUCAAAGACCGGGGCUUAACUUCGGAAAGGCAGUGGAAACUGAACAGCUAGAGUAUGGUAGGGGCAGAGGGAAUUCCUGGUGUAGCGGUGAAAUGCGUAGAGAUCAGGAAGAACAUCGGUGGCGAAGGCGGGACUCUGGGCCGAUACUGACGCUGAGGAGCGAAAGCGUGGGGAGCAAACAGG